ensembl:lncRNA
GAGUGAUUGUUUUUCUGAAGCUAGCCAGAUCGUCAAAUUUGGGUCAUAACGGUGAAAAGCGGUGAGUAACUAAAUAUCAACCAGAUGAAAGAUGACCACAUAAAACAUUAGAUGUUUACCGUCAUUGAUUGGUUGGAUAAUUAGGGAGCGAUGCCUCAUAAUUAAGGAGGCUGAGAAGGGAAGGGAGUUAGUAGCGAGCUGCUCUGCAGAGUGAAGUUACAGGAACAGGGAACAAGCUCCAAAGGAUAUUUAGAGGUAUAUAAAUCAUGGAUUCAUUCAACAGCAGGAUAGCUCCAGGUAACACUGACGCCGUGAAUGGCCUCCUGUUUAUUUUUAUACGGAUUUUUUAUUUUUAUUUCAUUUCCUUUUAUUUUAUUUGUUUACUUUUUGCAGUAAAAAGUGUUUACAGUACGGAUCAGUAACUAGCAUGCAUCUAGUAUGCUAUAUGAAGUUUACUAAUGACUUCAUAUAAAUCAUUUACUCUUCAUUUGUCAGGGAAAACCUAACUGCACUUUGGUACAGUCAUGACAGGGUCAGCAGAAACACAACUGCUACUUUGUUAGAUGUUUAUGUAGGCCAGCCGAGGAAGAUGCCGUCCUUAUCCGGUUGUUAAGUGAUGACGUGACGAAUCCUACUUCCAGGCCUAAAGUAGUCUGCCUUUAUGGCUUUUGUGUUGUUAACAUGUUUAAUGUUUUGUAUUUUCUUCUAUUUGAUCUCAAAAAGCUCCUAAAACAGUCAGUGAUCACUGUUGACCUCCCUCAGCUUUUAUUACCGCUAAUCAUUUAUUUAAGCUCAGUUUUUAAAACCUUAGGAUGUAACUACAGCCCAGCCCAUGCAGCAUGAUAUGAAUGACUAACCUCGUAUUGUGGAUGGAUUAUCUCAGUUGUUCUCCUGGCUGAAGUUUGGUCCUUUUACAGCAUCCUGCCAUGCGAUUACAUUUGUUCCUGACCACCGAGAACACUCACGUUAACUUUUAUCGAGUGGGAAAAAAGUUAGCUUGUUUAUAUUAUGCUAAC